ACUAACGCUGGCGGUGUGCCUAACACAUGCAAGUCGAACGGGCCUAUAGCAAUAUAGGUUAGUGGCAGACGGGUGAGUAACGCGUAGAUAACGUGCCCCCCAGUUCGGGAUAGCUGGCCGAAAGGCCAGGUAAUACCGGAUUCGCUCGAGUCGGGACAUCCCGAUUCGAGGAAAGCAGCAAUGCGCUGGAGGAGCGGUCUGCGUCCUAUUAGCUAGUUGGUGGGGUAAUGGCCUACCAAGGCGACGAUGGGUAGCCGGUCUGAGAGGAUGAUCGGCCACACUGGCACUGAGAUACGGGCCAGACUCCUACGGGAGGCAGCAGUGAGGGAUUUUGCGCAAUGGGCGAAAGCCUGACGCAGCGACACCGCGUGAGGGAUGAAGGCCUUCGGGUUGUAAACCUCUGUCAGUGGGGAAGAGCAAGGACGGUACCCACUGAGGAAGCUUCGGCUAACUACGU
rnacentral:rRNA from 1 species